rnacentral:rRNA from 1 species
GAGUUUGAUCAUGGCUCAGGAUGAACGCUGACAGAAUGCUUAACACAUGCAAGUCAACUUGAACAUGGGUUUUUAACUUAGGUUUGGGUGGCGGACGGGUGAGUAACGCGUAAAGAACUUGCCUCACAGAUAGGGACAACAUUUAGAAAUGAAUGCUAAUACCUAAUAUUAUGGAAAUAGGGCAUCCUAUAAUUAUGAAAGCUAAAUGCGCUGUGAGAGAGCUUUGCGUCCCAUUAGCUAGUUGGAGAGGUAACGGCUCACCAAGGCGAUGAUGGGUAGCCGGCCUGAGAGGGUGAACGGCCACAAGGGGACUGAGACACGGCCCUUACUCCUACGGGAGGCAGCAGUGGGGGA